rnacentral:rRNA from 1 species
CAAUCCAUGAGUAAGUGGCGACCGGGUGAGUAACACGUGACUACCUACCCUUGAGUGGGGAUAACCUCGGGAAACCGAGGCUAAUACCGCAUAAUAUCGAAAGAUCAAAGGAGUAAUCCGCUUUUGGAGGGGGUCGCGGCUGAUUAGCUAGUUGGUAGGGUAAUGGCCUACCAAGGCGAAGAUCGGUAUCCGGCCUGAGAGGGCGCACGGACACACUGGAACUGAAACACGGUCCAG